UUUUGAUAUGUUUUGACACAAAUUUUUAGCAUUUCAGAAAUUCUGUACGGAUAUUUUUAGUCCCCAGAGGAUGGAUCAUGCUGACUUUGCGCCUUCAUCAGAUCAUCCUUAUCCAUACGGCUAUCAGGACGUUCCAGGAGCAACAAACUCUUUAGAGCCACCGUUCAAGCCUACAGCUGGUGCCUUCGGGUGACUCUAGGACGGCAUUGUUUACCCUCCGCUUCUGAGAUGGGAUCCAUGCAGCCACCCAGUCAGGUGCUUAUCUGAUGCAAUGGACCAUUGAUCACCUUCUACCCCUUCAAUGAAUCACCUCUCUGUUAACUGAGUGGACAAUCAUCCACUUGGUAACCUAAAACUAACCUCAUAUAUUGCUGCUUCGGGUUCACUAGACCUCCACUUGUUGGUGGAUCGGGUUCAACUGGGAAUAAAAUGGGAUGUUGCAUUUCAUUUGGGUUGCGUUGAUGCAUGUCCUGAGUUCAGUAGUGUAGCGGUAUGUAUACCGUAUGGCAGCACUUUGGGUGAUCAUCCCAGCAAAGCGAUGAAGACACGGUGACGUCAUCUUAAAAUAAACAGAGAGGUUGACAACUUUAUUUCAUAAACCGUCUGUUUAAGAAAUCCCACCAACUGUUCCGAUCCUGAGAAGCCAUCAUAAACCUGAUGAAUGAUUUUUUAUCGGGGCUGUAAAUAUUUAUCCAUUGCACAAAUCCAAAUUCCAUUAGUGGAGUAAACAUAAACAUAUUUUUUUCUUUCUUAGGCAGGCAUAUAUGAAAUUAAACAUUGUAAUGCUGACAAAGAGUUCAACUAAGUGCCACCAUAUGGUCAAUGGUGGUUCUCAGAGCUGCAUUGUUAGUUGUGUGCGCAGUCUGUUUCUGACAACAGCUUGGCUCUCGUCAACCCUUCAUCUCCAAACACACUGCAUGUGGUGCAACGCGGCCCGGCUAAACCCCAAACACAGGAACGGUUUGUAAUUUGUCAUGACUGUGUCAGAAAUGAACUGAUGUGUUUGGGGUUGUGGAAAGCACCCAUUGAAGAGGGGGGGGAAAUGAAGGAAUUGGUUUGUUGUGGGUGUCAGUGAUACAACAAAUGGCUCAUACACUCAAGUGACGUCCACAUCUCUUUGUGACGGGGUUUAUGUUAGCCCGAAAAACCGCAGGCACGAGGGGUGCCAAGAAGUGGUGGAGCGCAGGGACCGGGACUUUUUUUUUGUGCAUUUGGCAAGCAAAUUAUUUCUCGCUUCUAAUGAUGUGCAACAUUUUCAUAUAAAUAAAUGUCAAUUUUGCAA